UCAUAAGCGGAAGGAAAAGAAACCAACAGGGAUUGCCUUAGUAACGGCGAGUGAAGCGGCAAAAGCUCAAAUUUGAAAUCUGGCAGCAAUGUCCGAGUUGUAAUUUGAAGAGAGUAACUUUGAGUUGGGUCCUGCAUAUGUUCCUUGGAACAGGACGUCAUAGAGGGUGAGAAUCCCGUUUCUGUGAGGUGACCCUUCUCUUGUAAAGUGCCCUCGAAGAGUCGAGUUGUUUGGGAAUGCAGCUCUAAGUGGGUGGUAAAUUCCAUCUAAAGCUAAAUAUUGGCGAGAGACCGAUAGCGAACAAGUACAGUGAUGGAAAGAUGAAAAGAACUUUGAAAAGAGAGUGAAAAAGUACGUGAAAUUGUUGAAAGGGAAGGGCUUGAAAUCAGACUUGGUAUUCAGUGAUCAACUUUCUUUCGGGAAUGUGCACUCGCUGUUUACUGGGCCAGUAUCGGUUUUGGCGGUGGGAUAAUGGUAUAGGAAUGUGGCUCCUCGGAGUGUUAUAGCCUAUAUUGAUACCACCAGCUGGGACCGAGGACCGCGCUUUUAGCUAGGAUACUGGCGUAAUGAUUUUAAGCCACCCGUCUUGAAACACGGACCAAGGAGUCUAACGUCUAUGCGAGUGUUUGGGUGUAAAACCCGUACGCGUAAUGAAAGUGAAUGUAGGUGAGAGCUUCGGCGCAUCAUCGACCGAUCCUGAUGUUUUCGGAUGGAUUUGAGUAAGAGCAUAGCUGUUGGGACCCGAAAGAUGGUGAACUAUGCCUGAAUAGGGUGAAGCCAGAGGAAACUCUGGUGGGAGGCUCGUAGCGGUUCUGACGUGCAAAUCGAUCGUCAAAUUUGGGUAUAGGGCGAAAGACU
rnacentral:rRNA from 1 species